rnacentral:rRNA from 1 species
CCUACGGGAGACAGCAGUGAGGAAUAUUGGUCAAUGGACGAGAGUCUGAACCAGCCAAGUAGCGUGAAGGAUGACUGCCCUAUGGGUUGUAAACUUCUUUUAUAUGGGAAUAAAAUGUUCCACGUGUGGGAUUUUGUAUGUACCAUAUGAAUAAGGAUCGGCUAACUCCGUGCCAGCAGCCGCGGUAAUACGGAGGAUCCGAGCGUUAUCCGGAGUUAUUGGGUUUAAAGGGAGCGUAGGUGGAUUGUUAAGUCAGUUGUGAAAGUUUGCGGCUCAACCGUAAAAUUGCAGUUGAAACUGGCAGUCUUGAGUACAGUAGAGGUGGGCGGAAUUCGUGGUGUAGCGGUGAAAUGCUUAGAUAUCACGAAGAACUCCGAUUGCGAAGGCAGUUCACUGGACUGCAACUGACACUGAGGCUCGAAAGUGUGGGUAUCAAACAGGAUUAGAUACCCCGGUAGUC